UACGGGAGGCAGCAGUGGGGAAUAUUGCACAAUGGGCGCAAGCCUGAUGCAGCCAUGCCGCGUGUAUGAAGAAGGCCUUCGGGUUGUAAAGUACUUUCAGCGGGGAGGAAGGCGAUAAGGUUAAUAACCUUGUCGAUUGACGUUACCCGCAGAAGAAGCACCGGCUAACUCCGUGCCAGCAGCCGCGGUAAUA
rnacentral:rRNA from 1 species